GAUGAACGCUGGCGGCGUGCCUAAUACAUGCAAGUCGAGCGAACAGAUGAGAAGCUUGCUUCUCUGAUGUUAGCGGCGGACGGGUGAGUAACACGUGGGUAACCUACCUAUAAGACUGGGAUAACUCCGGGAAACCGGGCUAAUACCGGAUAAUAUUUUGAACCGCAUGGUUCAAUAGUGAAAGACGGUUUCGGCUGUCACUUAUAUAUGGACCCGCGCCGUAUUAGCUAGUUGGUAAGGUAACGGCUUACCAAGGGCGACGAUACGUAGCCGACCUGAGAGGGGUGAUCGGGCCACACUGGGAACUGAGACACGGGUCCAGACUCCUACGGGGGAGGCAGCAGUAGGGGAAUCUUCCGCAAUGGGGGC
rnacentral:rRNA from 1 species